rnacentral:rRNA from 1 species
GACGAACGCUGGCGGCGUGCUUAACACAUGCAAGUCGAACGGAAAGGCCCUGCUUUUGUGGGGUGCUCGAGUGGCGAACGGGUGAGUAACACGUGAGUAACCUGCCCUUGACUUUGGGAUAACUUCAGGAAACUGGGGCUAAUACCGGAUAGGAGCUCCUGCUGCAUGGUGGGGGUUGGAAAGUUUCGGCGGUUGGGGAUGGACUCGCGGCUUGUCAGCUUGUUGGUGGGGUAGUGGCUUACCAAGGCUUUGACGGGUAGCCGGCCUGGGAGGGUGACCGGCCACAUUGGGACUGAGAUACGGCCCAGACUCCUACGGGCGGCAGCAGUGGGGAAUAUUGCACAAUGGGCGGAAGCCUGAUGCAGCAACGCCGCGUGCGGGAUGACGGCCUUCGGGUUGUAAACCGCUUUAGCCUGUGACGAAGCGUGAGUGACGGUAAUGGGUAAAGAAGCACCGGCUAACUACGUG